CCUGCUAUUUGAUUAUACACAUUGUGAAACUCAACCAUAAGGCUAAGAUGUUAUAUUUAGACUAAUCGUCCAUGUCCUGAGUUUUUUUAACUCUCUGAAGCGGGGAGAAUUGAACUGGAAAGAAAGAUUGUUUCAACCUUUACUUUAUGUUGUCAUUGUGAACAAUGCUUUUAUUGACAUACUAAAUUGAUUAUAAGUA